CCUACGGGUGGCAGCAGUGAGGAAUAUUUGUCAAUGGACGAGAGUCUGAACCAGCCAAGUAGCGUGAAGGAUGACUGCCCUAUGGGUUGUAAACUUCUUUUAUAUGGGAAUAAAAUGUUCAACGUGUGGGAUUUUGUAUGUACCAGAUGAAUAAGGAUCGGCUAACUCCGUGCACGCAGCCGUGGUAAUACGGAGGAGCCGAGCGUUAGCCGGAUGUAUUGGGUUUAAAGGGAGCGUAGGUGGAUUGUUAAGUCAGUUGUGAAAGUUUGCGGCUCAACCGUAAAAUGGCAGUUGAAACUGGGAGUCUUGAGUACAGUAGAGGUGGGCGGAAUUCGUGGUGUAGCAGUGAAAUGCUUAGAUAUCACGAAGAACUCCGAUGGCGAAGGCAGGUCACUGGACUGCAACUGACACUGAGGCUCGAAGGUGAGGGUAGCAAACGGGAUUAGAUACCCCAGUAGUC
rnacentral:rRNA from 1 species